UCCUUGGUGGCUAAGCAGUAAAGAAUCUGCCUGCAAUGCAGGAGACCCGGGUUUGAUCCCUGGGUCAGGAA
rnacentral:tRNA from 1 species